GUCGGAAAUCAAAUAGAAAGAUGAUUACGUAUUAAUUUUCAUGAGUAUGAACAAAGAGUACAUUAAUUGACAGGAGUAACAGCUAAAUGUUUUACUACUAUAGACCAAAUUUAUACUACACAUGUAGACCAUAUCAUAUAAGUAAAUGUGCCUAGUUAUGCCGUAAUUGAUCAUUAUCCUGUUAGGGUAACAAGAAACGCAGCCCAGAAAAUAUAGAAAAAUGGAGUACUUAUCUAUAGAUCCACAUAGAUAAAAUAUAUUGAUUGCAAAUUUAAUAAAUACU
rnacentral:lncRNA from 1 species